rnacentral:rRNA from 1 species
ACUCCUACGGGAGGCAGCAGUGGGGAAUAUUGCACAAUGGGCGCAAGCCUGAUGCAGCCAUGCCGCGUGUAUGAAGAAGGCCUUCGGGUUGUAAAGUACUUUCAGUAGGGAGGAAGGUAGUGUAGUUAACACCUGCAUUAUUUUGACGUUACCUACAGAAGAAGCACCGGCUAACUCUGCCAGCAGCCGCGGUAAUACGGAGGGUGCGAGCGUUAAUCGGAAUUACUGGGCGUAAAGCGCAUGCAGGCGGCCCGUUAAGUCAGAUGUGAAAGCCCGGGGCUUAACCUCGGAAUUGCAUUUGAAACUGGCAGGCUAGAGUCUUGUAGAGGGGGGUAGAAUUUCAGGGUGUAGCGGUGAAAGUGC